GAAAAUGAAAAUUUUGGGCUGCUAACCUAAAAUAUUGCUAUUUUUGUAACAUUUUCU
rnacentral:tRNA from 1 species